GGGACCCAGGAGGCCAGCUCACCACCCAGACAACCUGGGCACGGCUGCCCUAGACCUCAUCCUCACCCUCCCUUCUCCGUAGGUCUUAGUCCUGGGUAACAAGCGAGACCUUCCGGGAGCAUUGGAUGAGAAGGAGCUGAUUGAGAAAAUGAAUCUGUCUGCCAUCCAGGACCGAGAGAUCUGCUGCUACUCCAUCUCUUGCAAAGAAAAGGACAACAUUGACAUCACCCUACAGUGGCUUAUUCAACACUCGAAGUCACGGAGAAGCUGAGACUCCAGCCCUUCUCCCUCAGACCAGGGACCGUCAUCAUCUAAACCUGAAGCCGAGCUCCCCGCCCACCCCUGUCGUCCCCCU
rnacentral:ncRNA from 2 species